UUAAAGGCCCUUUUCAGGGCCACAUCAUCCUUCUAAGAAAAGCUAU
rfam:Lingula anatina scaffold9, whole genome shotgun sequence.